UCCUACGGGAGGCAGCAGUGGGGAAUUUUGGACAAUGGGGGCAACCCUGAUCCAGCCAUUCCGCGUGAGUGAAGAAGGCCUUCGGGUUGUAAAGCUCUUUCGCAAGGGAAGAAAACUUAUGAUCGAAUAAAUCAUGAGGUUGACGGUACCUUGAUAAGAAGCACCGGCUAACUACGUGCCAGCAGCCGCGGUAAUACGUAGGGUGCGAGCGUUAAUCGGAAUUACUGGGCGUAAAGCGUGCGCAGGCGGUUUUGUAAGUCGGAUGUGAAAUCCCCGGGCUCAACCUGGGAACUGCGUUCGAAACUGCAAGGCUAGAGUGUGUCAGAGGGGGGUAGAAUUCCACGUGUAGCAGUGAAAUGCGUAGAGAUGUGGAGGAAUACCAAUGGCGAAGGCAGCCCCCUGGGAUAACACUGACGCUCAUGCACGAAAGCGUGGGGAGCAAACAGGAUUAGAUACCCUGGUAGUCCACGCCCUAAACGAUGUCAACUAGUUGUUGGUAGAGUAAAAUCUAUGAGUAACGUAGCUAACGCGUGAAGUUGACCGCCUGGGGAGUACGGUCGCAAGAUUAAAACUCAAAUGAAUUGACGGA
rnacentral:rRNA from 1 species